rnacentral:rRNA from 1 species
UACGAAGGGGGCUAGCGUUGCUCGGAAUCACUGGGCGUAAAGGGUGCGUAGGCGGGUCUUUAAGUCAGGGGUGAAAUCCUGGAGCUCAACUCCAGAACUGCCUUUGAUACUGAGGAUCUUGAGUUCGGGAGAGGUGAGUGGAACUGCGAGUGUAGAGGUGAAAUUCGUAGAUAUUCGCAAGAACACCAGUGGCGAAGGCGGCUCACUUGCCCGAUACUGACGCUGAGGCACGAAAGCGUGGGGAGCAAACAGG